rnacentral:RNase_P_RNA from 1 species
AGUAGAAUAGGUGAUCGCGGGGACGAUUUAUUCGUCCGUGAGGAAAGUCCGGGCUUCAUAGGGCAGGAUGCCGGAUAACGUCCGGUUGAGGUGACUCACAGGAAAGUGCAACAGAAAGUAUACCGCCCGUUUUACGGGUAAGGGUGAAAUGGCGAGGUAAGAGCUCACCGCCUGGCUGGUAACAGACAGGGCAUUGUAAACCCCAUCCGAAGCAAGACCAAGACGAAGCGUUGACGCUGCCCGCCGAGCUUCAGGUAGGUUGCUUGAGCUGUAUAGCGAUAUACAGUCUAGAUAGAUGAUCACCCUCGACAUAACCCGGCUUAUAGUUCUGCUCGC